CACGGCAUGCGAGAAUGUCGCCGGUAAGGCGAUGACAACACAGUGAGGAAGCCGGUGGAAGUCCGGCGCGGUCCCGCCACUGUCAUCGGGGAGUGACCCUCAUCAGCCACGGCCCGCAUCAGUGGGGCUGGAAGGCGAGGCGAGCAGUGAUCCGAGAGCCAGGAGACUCACGUCAUCGCGUCCUGCGAA
rnacentral:ncRNA from 2 species